GGAGCCGCUGCCGCCGGCAGCGCUGCGAGCCAGCCGAGCCCCGGGCCUCGAGGGACGGGGGAGGGAUGCAGGGCCCCAGGGGUCCCGGCUCGCAGGGGGCAGAGUUCGUUUGCAGGGGGAGCCCUUGCGGGACGUCACGGAGGGCAGAACCACGCUAGAUGAAGUUAGACAGUGACAGUGGAAGGACAGAGCCGCACCGAGACAGGCACAUUCUGCAAGGGAGGAAGGCAGACAAUGGCAGCAGCCGAAACACCUGAGAUCUCUCGAUACAAUAAAACGUGGACGAUGAUUGGAGUCAUUUCUGCCUCCGCUUCCAGAGGGAGCUCAAACCUGACGCAUCAGUUAUCCAUCUCCAACGUGUAAAACAGGACACUCGCGAAACCUGCUAGGGACACCACCGCCCGCACCUGGCGGGGGUUACCUUUUGCAAACAGAAAAGGAGACCUGACUUUUUUCAAUUUAGUGCUUGUGUGAACCUAAGGUCGGGGCUUGCGCAGGGUAAUACACUCCUUUGACCCUCUGGAGACUAGAACUGAGCAAAGGGAAAUCAGGCGAGGGAAACGGAAGAUGCUGAGAAGAGAGUAGCGAGCGGAAGGCUAGUAGGUGGUGCGCAGGGGCUGCUUGGACCCCGCGGCGGGACCCGGCUCCAGCGUGGGCAAAUCACAGGGCGCCCGGGCCCAGGACUCUGGGCAGACCUGGCAGAAAUGCGGCCACGUGCUCAGGGCUCCUGUGCUCUGGCUCUGCAUUUCGGGGUGAGCUGCACACACACGCCCACACACACGCACACAGCGGUGCAUGCCUCUCUCCUGGCGCUGGGGUCCCUCUGAGGUUGUCCAGACAGCGGAACCUCACAAGUUCCCGCCGAGCACGGCCACUUGACGAUUUCGCUCACGCUGGAUGAGGG
rnacentral:lncRNA from 1 species